rnacentral:rRNA from 1 species
UACGGGGGGGGCAAGCGUUGUUCGGAAUUACUGGGCGUAAAGGGCUCGUAGGCGGCCAACUAAGUCAGACGUGAAAUCCCCAGGCUCAACCUGGGAACUGCGUCUGAUACUGGAUGGCUUGAAUUCGGGAGAGGGAUGCAGAAUUCCAGGUGUAGCGGUGAAAUGCGUAGAUAUCAGGAGGAACACCGGUGGCGAAGGCGGGUCUCUGGGCAGUAACUGACGCUGAGGAGCGAAAGCGUGGGGAGCGAACAGG